rnacentral:rRNA from 1 species
AGAGUUUGAUCAUGGCUCAGAACGAACGCUGGCGGCGUGCCUAAUACAUGCAAGUCGAACGAGAAUAUGUAGCAAUACAUUAGUAAAGUGGCAGACGGGUGAGUAAUACAUAGGUAAUCUCCCCUCGAGAUGGGAAUAACCUUCCGAAAGGAGGGCUAAUACCGAAUGAGACCACAGUGACAUAUGUCACAGGGGUUAAAUGAAGGCCUCUACUUGUAAGCUUUCGCUUGAGGAUGAGCUUAUGCACCAUCAGCUAGUUGGUAAGGUAAUGGCUUACCAAGGCUUUGACGGUUAGCUGAUCUGAGAGGUUGAUCAGCCACACUGGAACUGAGACACGGUCCAGACUCCUACGGGAGGCAGCAGUAGGGAAUAUUGCGCAAUGGAGGAAACUCUGACGCAGCGACGCCGCGUGGGUGACGAAGGUCUUCGGAUCGUAAAGCCCUGUCGGAUGGGAAGAAAAACGGUAUGGCUAACAUCCAUAUCGCUUGACGGUACCAUAAGAGGAAGCCCCGGCUAACUUCGUGCCAGCAGCCGCGGUAAUACGAAGGGGGCAAGCGUUGUUCGGAAUCAUUGGGCGUAAAGCGCGUGUAGGAGGUCUAUUAUGUCGGGUGUGAAAUCCCUGGGCUCAACCGAGGAAGUGCAUUCGAAACUGAUAGACUAGAAGAUGGUAGAGGAAGGUGGAAUUCCAAGUGUAGAGGUGAAAUUCGUAGAUAUUUGGAGGAAUACCGGUGGCGAAGGCGGCCUUCUGGGCCAUUCUUGACUCUGAGACGCGAAAGCGUGGGUAGCAAACAGGAUUAGAUACCCUAGUAGUCC